AAUGAAGGGGAUGAUGUCUUUCUAUGUGAAUAUGAAUAUGACAUACAUUGGCUGAGUUUUAAGCGUCUCGCAGAUAUU